CAACAGGGAUUGCCUUAGUAACUGCGAGUGAAGCGGCAAAAGCUCAAAUUUGAAAUCUGGCGCCUUUGGCGUCCGAGUUGUAAUUUGGAGGGAUGUCUUCGGGGGUGGCGCCGUCCUAAGUUCCUUGGAACAGGACGUCAUAGAGGGUGAGAAUCCCGUGCCUGGAUGGCUGCCCAUCCCCAUGUGAAGUGUCUCCGACGAGUCGAGUUGUUUGGGAAUGCAGCUCAAAAUGGGUGGUAAAUUUCAUCUAAAGCUAAAUAUUGGCGAGAGACCGAUAGCGCACAAGUAGAGUGAUCGAAAGAUGAAAAGCACUUUGAAAAGAGAGUUAAAAAGUACGUGAAAUUGUUGAAAGGGAAGCGCUUGCGACCAGACUCGAUCUUUGGUGAUCAGCCGGGCUUCUGUCCGGUGCCCUCGCCACUGAUCGGGCCAGCAUCGGUUCCGAGGGUGGGAUAAAAGGUGGGGGAAUGUGGCUUCCUUCGGGGAGUGUUAUAGCCUCUGUCAUAAUGCCACCACCCGGGACCGAGGACCGCGCUUCGGCUAGGAUGCUGGCGUAAUGGUCUUAAGCGACCCGUCUUGAAACACGGACCAAGGAGUCUAACAUCUAUGCGAGUGUUCGGGUGGAAAACCCUUGCGCGUAAUGAAAGUGAACGGAGGUGUGAACCCGCAAGGGUGCAACAUCGACCGGUCCUGAUGUCUUCGGAAGGAUCUGAGUAAGAGCAUAGCUGUUGGGACCCGAAAGAUGGUGAACUAUGCCUGAAUAGGGUGAAGCCAGAGGAAACUCUGGUGGAGGCUCGCAGCGGUUCUGA
rnacentral:rRNA from 1 species